GCCUGGCUGGCUUAGUUGGUAGAGCAUGUGAUUCUUGAUCUUAGGGUCGUGAGUUCAAGCCCCAUGUUGGGUA
rfam:Felis catus isolate Cinnamon breed Abyssinian chromosome C1, whole genome shotgun sequence.